GGACGCCUACGGGACACAGCAGUCGAGAAUCAUUCACAAUGGGGGAAACCCUGAUGGUGCGACGCCGCGUGGGGGAAUGAAGGUCUUCGGAUUGUAAACCCCUGUCAUGUGGGAGCAAAUUAAAAAGAUAGUACCACAAGAGGAAGAGACGGCUAACUCUGUGCCAGCAGCCGCGGUAAUACAGAGGUCUCAAGCGUUGUUCGGAAUCACUGGGCGUAAAGCGUGCGUAGGCUGCUUCGUAAGUCGUGUGUGAAAGUC
rnacentral:rRNA from 1 species